rnacentral:rRNA from 1 species
GCGGAAUGAUGAAGAAGCUUGCUUCUUCUGAUUUUAGCGGCGGACGGGUGAGUAACACGUGGGCAACCUACCUUGUAGAUUGGGAUAACUCCGGGAAACCGGGGCUAAUACCGAAUAAUCCAUUUUGCUUCAUGGCAAGAUGUUGAAAGGCGGCUUCGGCUGUCACUACGAGAUGGGCCCGCGGCGUAUUAGCUAGUUGGUAGGGUAAUGGCCUACCAAGGCGACGAUACGUAGCCGACCUGAGAGGGUGAUCGGCCACACUGGGACUGAGACACGGCCCAGACUCCUACGGGAGGCAGCAGUAGGGAAUCUUCCACAAUGGACGAAAGUCUGAUGGAGCAACGCCGCGUGAGUGAAGAAGGUUUUCGGAUCGUAAAACUCUGUUGUAAGGGAAGAACACGUACGAGAGUAACUGCUCGUACCUUGACGGUACCUUAUUAGAAAGCCACGGCUAACUACGUGCCAGCAGCCGCGGUAAUACGUAGGUGGCAAGCGUUGUCCGGAAUUAUUGGGCGUAAAGCGCGCGCAGGCGGUUCUUUAAGUCUGAUGUGAAAGCCCACGGCUCAACCGUGGAGGGUCAUUGGAAACUGGAGAACUUGAGUACAGAAGAGGAAAGCGGAAUUCCACGUGUAGCGGUGAAAUGCGUAGAGAUGUGGAGGAACACCAGUGGCGAAGGCGGCUUUCUGGUCUGUAACUGACGCUGAGGC